GCGUUAAUCGGAAUUACUGGGCGUAAAGCGCGCGUAGACGGUUACAUAAGUCGGGUGUGAAAGCCCCGGGCUCAACCUGGGAAUUGCAUUCGAGACUGCGUAGCUAGGGUGCGGAAGAGGGAAGCGGAAUUUCCGGUGUAGCGGUGAAAUGCGUAGAUAUCGGAAGGAACACCAGUGGCGAAAGCGGCUUCCUGGUCCAGCACCGACGUUCAGGCGCGAAAGCGUG
rnacentral:rRNA from 1 species